AAAGGACACAAAGAACACAGUAUUUUGCACCAGGAGUGUUUUCUCAGAGGAACAGACAACUUACUGACCUCCACUUUCUCUCACCAGGUUCAAGGGCACCUCGGUAGGAGGGUGGCUUCCUCCUCCUUCUUCCAACAGGCCCAACAUGGCGGGUUCUUUACCUGUUCCAAGAUCGCAGUUCCCAGAACAACAUCAAAAGCAGUAAUGUAAAGUCUGUUUUCUUUCUAAAAAGAAAACUCAGGAGGUAAGGAGAGGCAAGACCUCAAAAGCCUCCUUUAUUUGGAAUACUAAAUUGCACCUGAGGCAUACUCAAUUGAGACUUUCUCUCCCACCUUUGGAGAUCUUACUCCGUUGGAGUGGGAAGACGGCAACUCACAUAGUAAUAUGGAAUUUGAAUAGAAAAUAAAUUGUGCUGAAUCUCACGUAUGAUGUCCUAAAAGUGUCCAAAAUGAUGUCAUUAAAAAGGCAGGGAGGGGGACUGCAAUUAGAUGGAUGAGGAAGAGGCAGUUGAGAAAACAGAUUAAUGAUGCCGUUGACACAAUCAGCCUGUGAGGAAUACUGGUUUCUAUGACAACCAAACCACUUAACCUCAAUUAACAAAGCUGUUCAAAAAGAAAAACUUGAAAGAUGGGGAGGGGAAAAGCCAGCGGAUCCUCUUUGGGGGAAUGAAGUAGCCUGUCCCCUCAGCGCCUGUGAGACAAGCGUGUAUUAACUACAUAUCCGCAGGGACUCACCCAUUUUUUGUUAAAGAAUAACUAGAUAAUCUAGCCUCUGAGGGGGUGACAGCUGGACUCAACUGAUGAGAAGAAGUGAACCAAGCAAAGACUUGAGGGAAGUCAACUCCAGGCACAGCAAAGGAUGAGUGCAAAGGCUAUGAGCUUGAUGCAAAAGACCACAGUGACCUUAGCAGAUGUGUGAAGACAGCAGAGCCACAAGACUGAAAGAACCGCGAUUACUGAAUCACAUCAUGAAAACCCACCCUCUGACAGAAACAACUGGUUUGUGAUGGACAUCUGUUUGCCUUAUCUCACAUAGGGGAGGAGGGGAAGAAUUUAAUCUUGGAUUAGCCCUUUGUGGUUUUGCAUACCCCCUUCUCUGAUCCUCCUUAGAGGUGAAUAAAGUAGUGGAAUGGUCCCCAUUUUACAGCUGUGUUAGGCAAAGUUCAGAGAAGUUAAUGGCUAGGGAGGGGGAGCACAGGCCACAGUCUAGCCAAAGCCAGCCUCAAAUAUAGAUCUCCUGAUUCCCAGAGCCUAUUACUUCUUCCACUGUGCUAUACCCUGAAUGCUGAAGAUUCCUCCUUAAACUGAACAUGUCAGCAGCUAAUCUUUGAGCUAUUAAAUAAAUUACAAAAAGAUGAUAUAAAAGGCAAUCCUUCCUUGAGACAACUGUACCAUCCCAUUUAUCUCUUCAUGCCCAGGACUUGGGCAAGAACUUGGUACCGAGAAGGGCCUUCAUAACUGUAUGUUAUGAUUUUUAAAAAAAGUCUUACCAAGAAACAAAAAUUCAAGUUUAUAUCACAUUGACAACUAAAGACCAGCAAAACAGAUGUCGUGUACUGCUUCCACAUGUAGACCAACCAGAAUAAGACUCCAAUUCCAUCAAAUGUAAUUUAUUUAAAUAACAAUUCAAUUGCAUGUUAAGUAAACCAGUUGUAGCAAUAUAA
rnacentral:lncRNA from 1 species